GGGACACAGCCAGCUGGGGAGACAAGAUGUAACACGCACACGAAGUUUAAAAACACUGCACAGAACAAGGGUCUGUGCCACUGCUUGCCAAACGAAAGGCAGAAGGUGCCCUUGGGGACAGUGUCAAACUCAGAGAUAUUUACAGGAUGGAGGUUGCACAGAUGACUUCUGGGGCUGAGCAGAUGUGGAGAGAUGGGAACUUUCUCCACGGCGUCCCAAACCCUCUGGAAGAGCCAAUUGGCAGCAUCCGGGAAAGUUAAAGCCACGCCUUCUCUGUGUCCCGUGAACUCCCGUCCUGGGUAAGGAAGCUAGGACGUGUGCACCAGGAGACUUUACCAGUACGCCCAUCGCAACCUUACUGGCUGGAGGAAUUUGCGAUGAGAAUGAGAACCUGCUGUCUAGCGGAAGCCAGAGCUGGAGGAGCUGUGCCUUCGCCCCACCAGCCAGUCCCCUCCUCCCACGCCGCGGGACCUGUCAGCGCUGUCUCCAUCCGCCCCACACGGAGGCCUGGGAAGGUGCUGGUGGGCAGGAGAUGUUACCAGAUGCACCCUUUGUCCCCGUCCCUGCUGUCUGGGCCAGAGGAGCACAGACAAGGCGCCUCCGUCUAUUGCUUUGGAAUGUUGCACAGCAAACAAUUAUACCUGGUGGGACUCUUUACAGGAGCGUGCCUAUUAACGAUGGCCGCUGUGCCCGGAUUGUAAGACGCUGUCGCGCCCUCAGAUAUGGAAUCGUGCAGUGGACGCAUACAGGCUGGGGAAGGCUGUGUGGUGCAGUGGGAGCCACAGCAAGGCACCUGACUCGAUUGUCAGGGAAGUGAGGGCUCAGAGGUGGCUUCCUGGAAGAAGAGAUUCCUAAACCCAGUCCUGAAGAUCAAGUGAAGGUGGGCCAAGGGAAAGCGAGCAGGAGCAUGUGCAAAGGCCAGGAGCCAAGAGAGAGCCUGACUUGUGGGAAGAGCAGAGAGUGGUUCACUGGGGCUGGAGACCAUAAUCGAGGAAGAAUAGGUCUGAAAGAGACAGCGUGAUCGUGCGCCAACCCUGCACACAUUUUCUCUACAACAGGAAGAUGACUUGCCCAGCCUCACACACUUGUUAUCUAUUGUUUUCCUCUUCUGUAAUAUGUAAUUUUGUCUUAAAAGUUUUGAAAUUCUCAGGUAGAAAGUGGAGUAUGAGGGCAAACGAAUGUUGAGUUAUACUUCUUAAUUGUGACAUUUUUAUUCAUGAAAAGGAAAAGAUUUAAUGCCUCUGAUGAGAGCCUGGCACAUUCUAAAAUAAAGAAGGGUCACCACUAACUGAAAUAGACUUUUUUUUUUUAAAGAUUGGCACCUGAGCUAACGUCUGUUGCCAAUCUUUGCUUUUGUUUUUUUUUUCUUCCUCUUUUCCCCAAAACCCCCCAGUACAUAGUUGUAUAUUCAAGUUGUGGGUGCUUCUAGUUGUGGCAUGUGGGACACUGCCUCAGCAUGGCUUGAUGAGUGGUACCAUGUCCGCGCCCAGGAUCCCAACCGG
rnacentral:lncRNA from 1 species